AGGGCGGUAUACAGUUUACUUGCACUAAAAUACGGUAACGGUACGGGAGGAAAGCUACACUCUGUGCCUUCUGGUGUACGAAGCAGACAAGAGAAAUGAACAAGUUUUAUUGUAAAGUAUUUUAAAUUAUUGUGUGCUGGAAAAAAUGGCCUUACAUCCAAAGGAGUAAAAUUUGGAGAGUCAUUCGCCAUCUACUGAAGCCAUCCCGAAAUAUAUUGAAGUUCGAAUUUCAUAUCGGGAACAGCUGAUUGCAGAACAUGAAUUUGCAAAGACGCCACAGAAAGGAAUGGCCAGGCCUGCUAUGCUGUUUACAGCAGAAGAAACAGAAGGCCAUUUAGACUGGCAUCAGUCGUUAGAGUCAUUACAUGUAAAGCACUUGGCAUUAAAAUCCUCUCUGAUACCACUUUCUCAUAAAAUUUACAAUAUCUCUAGCCUCUGUCUCUAACAUAAGCCACAGUAAAAGGGAGCUACAGAAAAUUUGAUAUAUAUUUUAAAAAAAAAAUGAAUAAACAAGUGAAUGAAGUAUUGCCAUGCAAUACAAAGUCCCCUACUGGAAGGCACCUAAUUUUCUCUACUGCAGUAUAACAUAAUGAACUGAUAUCUGUCAAUGUUGUAUAAACAAUAUUGUACUAUAUAUACAAUAUGCUAUAACAAAACACUUGGAUUAAAAUUUAUAUAUAUAUAAAACCUAUAGUUGUUUUCAUAUUGAAUUUUUUUGGCUGAUUAUAAAAAUGUUAUCAUGUAAGUUAUUUAUAGUAACAACAAAGGGAAAUUAAUCUUUAAAAAAAAAAAAAAAAAAAAAAAAAAAAUCUAUAUAAUAUAAGUCCACAAGAAACUCUUUACCAGGUAGAGAUAGGUAAAAAUACACCUAAAAAUUGGAUGUAACAUGCAUGCUGUACCACAGAAAAAUGGUCUCUAUUUUUCUCUACCGCCAGUAAUAAAAAAGUUACAAUAAAAUCUAUUUAUAGUAACAACAAAGGGACGUAAUUCUAAAAACAAGGGUGCCUCAUGGUGGUGAACAUUUGGUCCAAGUUACAUCAAAAUCCCUCCAUGCAUGAAGAAGAAAUGUUCGUACAAAGUCAUUCUUGAAUUUGACCUUUGACCUCUAAAUAUGACCUUGACCUUAGACCUAGGGACCUGGUUCUUGCACAUGACAUGUUGUCUCAUCCAGGGGAAUAUUUGUGCCAACUGAUAUCUAAAUCCUGCUUUGCAUGACAAAGUUAUAGACCGGACAGGAAAAAAAUCCUCUUGACCUUUGAUCUCAAAGUGUGACCUUGACCUUUAAGCUAGGGUACUGGGUGUUGCGCAUGACACGUCGUCUCAUCAUGGGAAACAUUUAUGCCAAGUAAUAUUGUAAUCCCUUGAUGGAUGACAGAGUUCUGGAUCGGACAGGGAAAAAACCUUAUUGACCUUUGACCCCAAU